rnacentral:rRNA from 1 species
GCAGCCUGAUCCAGCCAUGCCGCGUGCAGGAUGACGGUCCUAUGGAUUGUAAACUGCUUUUAUACAGGAAGAAACCCUGGUUCGUGAACCAGCUUGACGGUACUGUAAGAAUAAGGAUCGGCUAACUCCGUGCCAGCAGCCGCGGUAAUACGGAGGAUCCAAGCGUUAUCCGGAAUCAUUGGGUUUAAAGGGUCCGUAGGCGGUUUAGUAAGUCAGUGGUGAAAGCCCAUCGCUCAACGGUGGAACGGCCAUUGAUACUGCUAAACUUGAAUUAUUAGGAAGUAACUAGAAUAUGUAGUGUAGCGGUGAAAUGCUUAGAGAUUACAUGGAAUACCAAUUGCGAAGGCAGGUUACUACUAAUUGAUUGACGCUGAUGGACGAAAGCGUGGGUAGCGAACAGGAUUAGAUACCCUGGUAGUCCACGCCGUAAACGAUGGAUACUAGCUGUUGGGGGCAACUUCAGUGGCUAAGCGAAAGUGAUAAGUAUCCCACCUGGGGAGUACGUUCGCAAGAAUGAAACUCAAAGGAAUUGACGGGGGCCCGCACAAGCGGUGGAGCAUGUGGUUUAAUUCGAUGAUACGCGAGGAACCUUACCAAGGCUUAAAUGUAGUUUGACCGAUUUGGAAACAGAUUUUUC